CCUACGGGUGGCAGCAGUGGGGAAUAUUGGACAAUGGGCGAAAGCCUGAUCCAGCCAUGCCGCGUGUGUGAAGAAGGCCUUCGGGUUGUAAAGCACUUUCAGUGGGGAAGAAAGCCUUGGGGCUAAUACCCUCGAGGAAGGACAUCACCCACAGAAGAAGCACCGGCUAACUCCGUGCCAGCAGCCGCGGUAAUACGGAGGGUGCGAGCGUUAAUCGGAAUUACUGGGCGUAAAGCGCGCGUAGGCGGUCUGAUAAGCCGGUUGUGAAAGCCCCGGGCUCAACCUGGGAACGGCAUCCGGAACUGUCAGGCUAGAGUGCAGGAGAGGAAGGUAGAAUUCCCGGUGUAGCGGUGAAAUGCGUAGAGAUCGGGAGGAAUACCAGUGGCGAAGGCAGCCUUCUGGACUGACACUGACGCUGAGGUGCGAAAGCGUGGGUAGCAAACAGGAUUAGAUACCCUUGUAGUC
rnacentral:rRNA from 1 species